GAGCUCAGCUGGAAAGGUCCCCAGACAGCAGGGAGUAGAAGACCAGCAAGUCCAAUUGCAUUUACAACUGAGACCAAGAGUGGGGCAGGAAUUUGCUCAAGGUCACACAGCAAAUCAGAGAUGGAGCUGGGCCAUGGAGUCUGUGCCCUGGGCCCUCUUUCCCUGCAUACCCUCUCUAGCUGACCAUUGAGAUAGGCAGGCUCCCGUUCUGCCAGGGACUACGCAAACAGCCAUGGCCACAUUCACUCAGUCCUCACCCCAUGGACUCUUAGGACAGAAACUAGCGUGUCAUGACUGCUGCUCUCAAGGCUGAUGAGAAGCACAGAUGGAAUAACACCUGGAAUGACGUCAGACCUCCUCUCCACACAUCUCUCUUCACCUCUUCCCCAUUGGGUCGAACCCGCCACACAAGGAAGCUGCUGCGGCCCUCUCCUGCUCUGUCUUCUGAGUACUGUCCAGACCGUUCCACUCAUUCUUCACCUUGCAUGUACAUGGGACGCUAACAGAGGGCCAGGAUGACAGCAAGGACUUCCCUGGGAGGUACAGGUAGAGAUGGCAACCUGGCAAGCCGGAAGAACUCAGCCUGGGAGUCAGGAAGUCUGGGACAGGGUCCGUCUCCAUCUCUACUCACAACAUGACCAGGAAAAGUAUGUGCCUCUCUGCAUCUUGGCCUUCUCAUCUGAAACACAGGGAAUAUAAGCAGGAUCUGGGUAGAUCCGAGGGAUCUGAAUUUAAACAGGAAGAAGGUUUCACAUACAUUCCUGGUCAAAGGAGAAAUCAGGACAUAAAAGGCAUAUUUAUGCAAGCUUUUAAAAACACCUUAGUGGUGUAUUAAGAAUUGUAAUGCAAAUAAUAAUAAUAAUAAUAAUAAUAAUGCUCAUGUAUAAUGGCAUAAUUUGGAGUGAACAUAUUUUAUAUACAGAGUUACGAAAAAUAGUAUUGUGAAUGGAUAAUUAUGAUUGUAAUGCAUUCCACUAUUGUCAUGUAUG
rnacentral:lncRNA from 1 species